CCUACGGGUGGCAGCAGUGGGGAAUUUUGCGCAAUGGGGGAAACCCUGACGCAGCAACGCCGCGUGCGGGACGAAGGCCCUCGGGCUGUAAACCGCUUUCAGCAGGGAAGACGUCGACGGUACCUGCUGAAGAAGCUCCGGCUAACUGCGUGCCAUCAGCCGCUGUAAUACGUAGGGGGCGAGCGUUAUCCGGAUUCAUUGGGCGUAAAGCGCGCGUAGGCGGCCGCCUAAGCGGAACCUCUAACCCCGGGGCUCAACCUCGGGCCGGGUUGCGGACUGGGCGGCUGGAGUGCGGUAGAGGAGGGCGGAAUUCGCGGUGUAGCGGUGGAAUGCGCAGAUAUCGGGAAGAACACCGAUGGCGAAGGCAGCUGUCUGGGGCGUCACUGACGCUGAGGCGCGAAAGCGGGGGGAGCGAACAGGAUUAGAUACCCGAGUAGUC
rnacentral:rRNA from 1 species